CUUUGUUCAGUUCCUCGCUUUGCCCGACACUUUCCCUCCCGGCCACCCGCCCUUCCGUCGUCGCCGUCCCUCGCCGGGUCGUCACCCCUCGCCUGCUCGGCCCAUGUCGACCCAGCGCCCGAAGCCGCAAUAGCCCACCGGGGUUAGGUCGGCGGCGGCGCAAGGUGUCGCUCUUGCCCUCGGCCGCCCGAUUCGCCGCGCCCCGGUGAGAGACUCCACCGGAGUAAGUCCUACUCAUCUCGUACUGUCGUACGCUAGCUUUUGUCUUCAAUCCAGGAUGUGAUUUCUACCGCCCUUCUCUUCUCUCUUCACUCACCCUUUUAAAUGCCUCUACGGAUUGUUAAUGUCUGAGCCUUCAAAUCCCUCCCCGAUUGGAUGAGAUUUCAUCCGAUUGGCUGCUGUUCCAAUCCCGAUUGGAUGAGAUUUCAUCCGAUUGGCUGCUGUUCCAAUCCUUGACGUGGUGAGUUCUUGUCUCUACGGGGAUGCCGGAUCGGUCCUGCUGCGACGUCCAUCCCUUGCCGACGAGCUGGUGGCAAUGAGCAGACACACGACGAUGUGCAGCAAUGUGGAAUCAAGGAGAGCACAAAUGCGGCGGUCCCUCUGCUUUCAGGUUGGAUUCUUAGCAAAGAUUGGUGCAUAGGAUGCCUAUCAAUUAUCAACCCGAGCUGGGUGGUGUUUGAGCAUUCCCUGAUUUUUUCGUCUAUCAUGUGCCCUCAUUCCGAUCAGCUCGACAGAUCUCUGGAUUGGCGGCAACUUGCCGUUCCUUUCUUGGAGUGGCAGGUUUCUUCAGAUGAGUCAUCCAGCGAGCUAGUGAGGUUGAGUCAAAUUGUUCAAGAAUAUUCACUCUCAGCUUUGCAAGCCCUGAAAUCAAUAAGCCUUCAACCUUCGAGUGCAACCUUUAUCCGAUAAUAACAUGGUUACUAGGAGGACAACCUAGAUUUGUUUUUAUUUUCAAUAAAUAGGUAUGACCAUGUGCUCACCUUGAUGUUUUAUAUUCCAUUUGCUUAUGGAAAAAUGAUAAAAGUUGCCGCUUUGUUUUACCUACACGAUGUUGUAUUUGCCAAUUGCUCUCUAAAAAAUGAUGUUUAAUUGAUUUAACUACCAACUCUUUUAAUUGUGGAGGUUAAAUGACUAUAUUCUAGACCCACAUUCAUUCAAUUGCUCUCUGAUUUAAGUUUGCUGAUGACCUGAUAUCUUGUCUUACUUUUAUUGAAACUUAAUUCAUAUGCUAUCUACAUUUGUGAAUCUCUUGCAAAGUUCUACCUACCAAAGCUUAUAUACAUGCAUGAUCUUUCAUGAUGAAACCUUUAGAUUGCAAACUUAUAUUUUGAUGAGUUGGAUUAAGAUUGAUUUCUGUGGUAUGAGACUUAGAAGCUGGUCAUUCCUUUGUGUAACCUUGUAUUGCUAGCCUUUUUAUCCGUGCAUUGUGAAUUUUCACAUCGGAAAUCUCGCAAACCUCGCUGGACAUCCAACCUAAACCCAAAUUAUCAUUUUUGUGACUACCUCCUUGACCACAACCUAUUAAGAUGAGUAUGAUUAAAUUUUUUGAAGGUCAUUUCUAUACCCAUCAGCAGUGAAUUUUUACUCACUUUUCAUACUCGAGGACGAGCAUCGUUCGAGCAUAGGGGAGAGUCAGUGCGCUGUCUAUCCUUGACAGCUUCUCGUUAGAUCAAGCUUUGUUGCGAUAGAAUUUGGGGAGAAAAGAAAGAAAAAGAAAGAAGAAGAAAAAAAGAGAAAACAUAAAUGAAGAAAAAGAAUGAAAAAUAGAGAGAACAAAGGAAGAAAAAGAAAAAAGAAAGAAGAAAGAAAGAAAGAAAGAAUAUGCUCCUCAUCUUCUGAAGCAUCAUGUUUGGCUCGACAAAGUUAUCUUGUUGUAUCAUAUUCAUCAUUUUCCAACCAUGUGCAAUCUAAUAACGAGGAUUUCAUUUGUGCCUCAGGAUCAUUCCUUUGCUACUUGUACAUGUCCACCUAUCUAAAUGUGUGUGUUCAUCCCUCUCCCUCUCCAACAUUUAUUUUCCAUAGCCUUUUUGAUAAGUCUCAGUAAUUCCAAUAGAUCUAUCUCUUAAUUUGACAAUAUUUAAGAUAUAAGCCUUCCACUUUCAUAUACGAGUAGAAUAUGUUGAAACUAACCUAAUAUAGGCUUCAGUGACUUGAUGAGAUGAGUGUUUCCAUGAACUUUUGCAAGAGAAUCUCACUUUUGUUGGAUAUGCAUCUUUUUGAAAAACUCUUCACGAUAUAAUAAGGUAAGGGUUUGAAGUUCACCUAAGUUGAAGAGCAUUGUAUUUAUCUUUUAUUGUGGCUUGUUCUUCAUUGCUAGUCCAUCUUCCAUAAUGAAAAAGAAGCAGGUCGCAACUUGAACUUUAAUGUUAAAUACAUAAAGUGCAGGGAUGACAUUGGAAGGCAAUGCUAAUUUCUCUUGAAAGCAAGAAUUGACUUACUCGCAGACAAGCAAGGUUUAAGCUUGGGGGAUUGUUGACGAUCGUUAUUGACAUACUUUUAGUACCAUUUUACUAGUGUUUUCAAGCAUAUUCUUAUACUAACCGGCCACUUGGCUCCUGAAAUAAUUCUAUAUUCACAUAUGUGUUGUGUUUUAAAUUAUACAUAUGUGUUGUGUUUUAAACUAUAUUGUAAAAUCACAGGGAAUAUGACAUAAAUGAAGGGUUUUUUUUCCAAGUUAGACUUGGGCCCGAACUUUGGAUAUUGGAAGGUCCAAACAUGAACAUCGAACUGCAGGCCUGUAGGAGGAGCUAAGAAUUGCAUGGACCAUAUCUUCCUCAUCCGAACUUCGAUUGAGGUGAAUUUAUAGGGAAAAUUGCAUAGCUCGACGAGAUCUACAACUUUUGUAUGAAGCGAUCGGACAUUGGAGGCUAAAAUAGGGCAGGUCGAUUGGCCGAUGGGGUCCAGGCUGAUUGGCAUGACUCGUUUUUAGCCCCGUUUGAUGCUUCCUUUCACCAGGAGGAAGCCCUCAAUGAUCCUAGAGUUAUUUUCCAGAUACUUGGCCCCGAAGGCACCCCAACCGACGUCGAGAACUAUAAAUACAAGGACAUUCAACAAGGAGGAACAAUCCUGAUGAGUUUAAACCUAGCAAUCGCCACCGCCACAAGAUCAAAAAAGGGAUUAAAUUAGAUUACCGCGAUGACCAACGCCGGCGGAGGCUAGGAGGUGCGAAGAAGACCUUAGGCUGAUCGGCCUGAGGAGCCCUAGGCCGAUCGGCCUAGGGUGUUCCUGCACCCCCUCGCCAUCUUCAGUGACGACGUUCUCUAGAGUCUCCUUCACCCCUUUUUUUAUCAAUCUCUGUAAGAUGAUGGGGUCAAGCCUCUGUUCAUCCCUAGAUUGUUUGGAUCCUUGAUAUGUAACUGCUACAUAUACUUUAUGCCUAUCAAUUCUUCAUGGUCUAUGUCAUUGUAAUGCUUCA